rnacentral:misc_RNA from 1 species
GAUGAAGAACGUAGCGAAAUGCGAUACGUAAUGUGAAUUGCAGAAUUCAGUGAAUCAUCGAAUCUUUGAACGCAUAUUGCGCUCUUUGGGAUUCCGAAGAGCAUGCUUGUUUGAGUAUCAGUAAACACCUCAACCUCUUCUUGAUUUUUCAAAAGGAGGGUGGACUUGAGCUAUCCCAACAACCUUUACCGGUCGGCGGGCGGCUUGAAAUGCAGGUGCAGCUGGACUUUUAUCUGAGCUAAAAGCAUAUCUAUUUAGUCCUCGUCAAACAGGAUUAUUACUUUUGCUGCAGCUAACAUAAAGGAUAAUUGUCCUCUUUGCUGACUGAUGCAGGAUUUUACGACACUUUAUGUGUUGUUCAACUCGAUCUCAAAUCAAGUAAGACUACCCGCUGAACUUAAGCAUAUCAAUAAGCGGAGGA